ACCUAGGUGGCUCAGUCCGUUAAGCCUCUGACUUCGGCUCAGAUCAUGAUCUCACUGUCUGUGGGUUCGAGCCCCGCUUUGGGCU
rnacentral:tRNA from 1 species